rnacentral:rRNA from 1 species
GAUGAACGCUGGCGGCGUGCUUAACACAUGCAAGUCGAACGGUGAAAGAGAGCUUGCUCUCUGGAUCAGUGGCGAACGGGUGAGUAACACGUGAGCAAUCUGCCCUUGACUCUGGGAUAAGCGUUGGAAACGACGUCUAAUACCGGAUACGAGCUGUGAAGGCAUCUUCAACAGCUGGAAAGAACUUCGGUCAAGGAUGAGCUCGCGGCCUAUCAGCUAGUUGGUGAGGUAAUGGCUCACCAAGGCGUCGACGGGUAGCCGGCCUGAGAGGGUGACCGGCCACACUGGGACUGAGACACGGCCCAG